GUGGGGAAUCUUGCACAAUGGGGGAAACCCUGAUGCAGCGACGCCGCGUGAGCGAUGAAGCCCUUCGGGGUGUAAAGCUCUUUCGGCAGGGAAGAUUAUGACGGUACCUGCAGAAGCAGCUGCGGCUAACUACGUGCCAGCAGCCGCGGUAAUACGUAGGCAGCAAGCGUUGUUCGGAGUUACUGGGCGUAAAGGGUGUGUAGGCGGUCCCUUAAGUUUGUCGUGAAAUCUCCCGGCUCAACUGGGAGGGUGCGGCGAAUACUGAGGGGCUAGAGUGCGGGAGAGGAAAGUGGAAUUCCUGGUGUAGCGGUGAAAUGCGUAGAUAUCAGGAGGAACACCGGUGGUGUAGACGGCUUUCUGGACCGUAACUGACGCUGAGACACGAAAGCGUGGGUAGCAAACAGGAUUAGAAACCCUAGUAGUCC
rnacentral:rRNA from 1 species